AAAUUGAAGAGUUUGAUCAUGGCUCAGAUUGAACGCUGGCGGCAGGCCUAACACAUGCAAGUCGAACGGUAACAGGAAGCAGCUUGCUGCUUCGCUGACGAGUGGCGGACGGGUGAGUAAUGUCUGGGAAACUGCCUGAUGGAGGGGGAUAACUACUGGAAACGGUAGCUAAUACCGCAUAAUGUCGCAAGACCAAAGAGGGGGACCUUCGGGCCUCUUGCCAUCGGAUGUGCCCAGAUGGGAUUAGCUAGUAGGUGGGGUAACGGC
rnacentral:rRNA from 1 species